rnacentral:tmRNA from 1 species
ACACUUUUCAUUCAUUUAAGACGCCCUAUAUAGGGUGGUGCCGGACCUGUCCGGCUAUGGCGAUAAAUUGUGUCGUGUAAUAGGCGCAGCGGACCCGGGGGCAGUACCCGGCGGCUCCACCAGAAAGGGCUUCGUCCCAUAGCGAAGCCCGUCCUGACGGGGCCGAACCAGGAUAGACGUGUGUUGAAAGACGAUAUUUUUGCCCGGCCCGAGUAAGCCGUAAAACUGUUCAAAACCUACAAGUGCCAACGAUAACGAGGCUCUUGCUCUUGCUGCGUAAUUGAUGGGCUCACGCCCUGACAUUACCCAAAAAGAACGCGGUUGGACCCACCGGGCAACAGAAGCGGAUUCCAGCGGUUUGGGGAGCACCGGGCAACAGAAGCUCCCCGCC